CAAUUCUUCUAAGCCAAAAAAAGAAUAUUGCGUAGGCCUUUGUUUCGAAAGACCCAAAAAUUGUUCGCAGCAAUCUCCUUCGCAAUAUUUUUUGGAAGAGGAAAUG
rnacentral:pre_miRNA from 1 species